UUUUCAUACAAGAUUGUUUCAAAAAGAUCAUCCAGUUUUCUCAUUUUUACCUAUAUUGAUUUUCAUAUAUACAGUUACAAACAUUUUGGUAAAAAACAUCAUUUACAUUUAGAAAACAUGACUUUUUCUGCAAGUAAAUUCUACAUCAUCUUCAUGUACCUCUAUCUUGCUAUUUUCAUUAAUUCCGCAAAAGAUGAAGAAGCAAAAAUUUGUAAAAUUUUGCUUAGUUCAACAAUGAACCAUGGUUGUGAGGAAAUCAAGUGUAACGAAGGCUGCAUCAACGAGGAGAAUGCAAAUUCCGGUGAGUGUAUGGCUACAGGCAUCGUUGUUUUUUUUUGCUACUGCUUCUACGAAUGUGAGCAGUGAUUUUCUAAAAUGUAAAAUCAAUGUAUACAAAUUUACACAUGAUCAAUGAUGCUGUGUUGCACAACAUUUUUUGUGUGGAUUUACAUGGUCUUUAAUUAAUCUUCAUGUGUAAUACAUCUCUUCAUGACUGAAAAUAGGUCGUGAAAGAUAGAUUUUCAUAUAUGAAAGUGAUUGUCAUCGACUUUUAUUUAUUGUCUUGAAGUAAGGAAUUUGAAUAUCAUACUCACCAUUUUCAUAUA